UGAUAUUUUUAGUAAAUAUGUGUAUUCUAAUAGUAAGCAAAAUUUUUAAACUCAGAUUUCCAGUUUUGACCUUUUAAGCUUAUGAGAAAUUACCAAAAUGCCCAUGCGGUGCAUAGUUUGGUUAUGAAUGAUAAAUUUCACAUAUAUAUAAUACCCUACUGUUAUAACUUAUUAAAUUAAGUAUUUUUACUGAUUACAUCAGACCUUCAACUCAGAUUACUAUUUAAACCCUUUUAUAACCUUUUAAAUGACCAAAAUGCCCUUACGGGGCAUAGUAUGAUUUUAAAUUCGUGUUGGGCAUAAUAGAAGAUAUCUUACUGAUGUCACAACAUAUUUAAGGCAUAUUAACUUAGGAAACUUGUAUAUGACUCAUUUGAUUAACUCGUUAUGCAGUUUUCGCGUUCGGAUCGGCUUAUGUAACUAGUUUGCAUAUAUUAGCCGAAACGGGUCAAACCAUAUCGUUUUUUUCUCAAAAUUCAGAAUGUGUUUAAACCCGACAAGCUUGGAUACUUGUAUAAUAUGGGUAAACUAAACACAUUCUGAAAAUUGAGAAUUUAAUGAUAAGGUUAAGCCCGUUUCGGCUAUUUUACGUAAACUAGUCACGUAAACCGAUCCGAACGCAUAAACGCAUAACGGGUAACCGAAUAAAUUAUAUACAGGUCUUAAUCGUUAUUAUGCUCAAAACAUGUUAAUACAUCAGUAAGAUGUUAACAUAUAUGCCCAAAAAGUAAUUUAAAUCGUGUUGGGAUUCAACCCUAUCAGAGGAACAGAUAAUUAAAGCCAAAACUGGAUCAGAGCAGUGGAUUCUGUAUAAGCAGAUGCUGAUAUACAAAUCUCUCCCCUUUAAAGUGAUUACAACUACUGAUGACCUCCUAUCUGCUGAUCUUACCAAACUGCUGACUCAUAACUGCUGCUCAACUAAAGAUCUGAUGGAAGACUAAAGUCCUGCUGAUUCAAUCUACUGCCUUGAGUCAAGCACUGCUGAUCCGGACAAGUGCUGCUGGGUUCACAGCAGUAGAAGGUUGCAGCAGCUGUUCUAAAGUCUGUUUUAUAAUAGAAUGUAUUAGCAGUAGUUAGCACAAGCAGUGUCUGUAUAGAUCAGAGGUUAGAGUUUGUUAGGAGGUUAGAUGUCACUUUCAUGGUGACGUCAGCAAAGAUGCUCAGUAGUUUGCAAGUGCCUAUAAAUAGUUCAGUACUUUGUACUGUUCUAUUAGCUCUUUGCAUCAUUCGUCUUCUUUGCACGAACAAACUACUGAGCUCGGGCUGAGGGGGAGUUUGCAUCAUACAUCUAUCUUUGUAAUCGUUGUUGAAAUUAAAUUCAAUCAUUCGGUUCAUAGUGUAAAAGAUGUUUGAUUAAAGUAUUACUCUCAUUUGAUUGUAUGCAAAGUUUGCUUUCAUUUUAAUUCCGCUGCACAACUCAUCCAUUUUCAUCUUAACUUCAAACACAAAAUACAAUCAAAAAGAAACUCAGAUCCAACAAUUGGUAUCAGAGCUUGGACAGUCAAAUUUGAUUUAACAAUCAUUUCGACGUAAAUAGUUCAGCUCAAAACAGUUGAUACUGAUCGUUUGUUCGUCGUUGAAAAACAGAGUAAGGAUUAAUCACCACUAAAGUUGAUUUCUCAGUACCUGUAAAACAACAAGAAUGACGUCACAAUCUCAGGACGAUAAAAACAUUGGUUCUCUCUUUAAACCACCUAU
rnacentral:lncRNA from 1 species